rnacentral:rRNA from 1 species
UACGUAGGGUGCGAGCGUUGUCCGGAAUUAUUGGGCGUAAAGAGCUUGUAGGCGGUCUGUCGCGUCUGCUGUGAAAUCCGGGGCUCAACCCCGGACUUGCAGUGGGUACGGGCAGACUAGAGUGUGGUAGGGGGAGACUGGAAUUCCUGGUGUAGCGGUGAAAUGCGCAGAUAUCAGGAGGAACACCGAUGGCGAAGGCAGGUCUCUGGGCCACUACUGACG